UACGAAGGGGGCUAGCGUUGCUCGGAAUCACUGGGCGUAAAGGGUGCGUAGGCGGGUCGUUAAGUCAGGGGUGAAAUCCUGGAGCUCAACUCCAGAACUGCCUUUGAUACUGGGGAUCUUGAGUUCGGGAGAGGUGAGUGGAACUGCGAGUGUAGAGGUGAAAUUCGUAGAUAUUCGCAAGAACACCAGUGGCGAAGGCGGCUCACUGGCCCGAUACUGACGCUGAGGCACGAAAGCGUGGGGAGCAAACAGG
rnacentral:rRNA from 1 species